CAAAGCUAGUAUCAGUAGUUGAGUACUUCAUUCAAUAAUUCAUUUUGAGAUAGAAAGAAGAAAUUUGAGUUUUGCUUAUUUAGGAAAAAUGGUUUCAAAGUCUAGUAUUAUAGUUUUGGGUCUUGUUGUGGCUGUUGUUCUUCUCAUCUCGUCAGAGGUGGCAGCUAAGGACUUGGGUGAGAGUUCAACGAAAGCAUCCAUGCAUGUGUUUGUGUGUGUGUGUAUGCACAUAUAGGUGUUAUGUUUUUGAUAAUGACUGUAUCUGCAUUUUAAUUUGUGUUAAAUUUUUCUACCUACUCUCCGAAAAAAACAACACACAGUUAGCUGUAUGAAAUGUAGAAAUCUAGCUUAGUCAUAAUUAAUUCAUUACGACCACCAUUAAUUUUUAUGUAUACUACUCAAAAUUUUGCAGAGACUGUGAAUGGAGUUGAGGAUGCCAAGUAUGAUGACAAUAACGGAGGAUUCAAUGGAGGAGGUCGUGCUAGUAAUGGAGGAUCAGGAGGGCGUGCCAGUAAUGGAGGGUCAGGAGGGCGUGGUGGUAAUGAAGGAUCAGGAGGGCGUGGUGGUAAUGGAGGAGGAGGAGGGCGUGGUGGUAAUGGAGGAGGAGGAGGCCGUGGCGGUAAUGGAGGCGGAGGAAGCCGUGGUGGAAGUAAGAAUUGUCGCCAUGGUGUUUGCUGUGGUAGGCGAGGAAAUUGCGGAUGCUGCUAAAUAGUUAAUAUCUAUAGACCAAAUAUAAUCUGAAGACGGCUAUUAUUAUAUUUGAGAAUAAAAAAGCAUAUGUAUGUAGUCAGUAGUCUUGCCGCGCUAAGAGCUCCAAUCUGUUCUUGCAUUGAGUCUGGUAGAAAGCUUGUGAUCAUGUGUUCAUGAACUGUUCCCAGAGUUUAAUAAAAUGGUUGCCGUUUUAAUUGAACUUUAAAG
rnacentral:lncRNA from 1 species